rnacentral:rRNA from 1 species
AUGGACAUGAGGUGGGCGCCGGCGCCGGCGCGGCCCAGGGCGCCGAGGCGGCCGGCCGACCAGCCGUCCUUCUCCUCCACGCUGCUCGACGCCAUAUGCGACUCCAUGGACGGCCCCGAGGCGAGAAGCGCGGCGGCGGCGAGGUCGGCGUCGGCGGCGACAAGGGCGGCGGCGGCUGCGGCCAAGAAGCAGGAGGAGGCCGCCCUGCAUUACUACUACUACUACAAGCCCGCCUUGGCCGCCAGCCACCGGGCGCGCGGCGAGCAGCCGACGCAGGGCGCCGCGGCCGCGGACUGCUCCGGCCGAGGCUACUUUUCCUCGUCCGAGGUGGAGUGCUCCCUCGGCCGCCUCCACCGCAUCCGCACGUCCGGCGGCGCGGCGCCGAGGCAGAAGCAGCAGCAGCAGCAGCAGCAGCAUCCCGCUCCGGAGAAGACGGCGAGGAUUAAGAAGCCGGCGGCCGCCACCACCCGCGGCUGCAGCAGGCCGGCAUCCCCCGGCGCGCGGCUCGCCAACCUGCUCAACUCCAUCUUCGCCGGAAAGCGUCAUUCGGCUCAGCGGACGGCCCCGGCGGACCAGGAGCCCGCGUGCUCCACAGCGCCGUCGUACGCGCGGUCCUGCCUGUCCAAGACGCCGCCGCCGUCUGCGGCGCGGGCGAGCCGGAGCCGGAGUACCCGGACCGUGAGGUUCCUGGACAUCGACGGUGAGCUGGCCGUGGCCGCCGCGGCAGUGGGACGCUGCCGCCGGAUUCCGGUGGUGGAGGUGGAGGAGGAGCUGCUCCGGCCGGCGGACGUGGAGGCGCGCAUCGACGGUGGCGAGAAGAGCAGCGACGCGAGCUCCGACCUGUUCGAGCUCGAGAAUCUCGCGGCCACGGCUUCGGAGAGCGGCCGGUGGGAUCGCGACGGGUCGUACGGUAAUGAGCUGCCGGUGUACGGGACCACCGGAGUUGGCCUCCACCGUGGCAUUGGCCACCCCCGCCCGUACGAGUAUGGACCGUAUGCUCUUGGUCCAAGUUGUAGAAAGGCUGUUUGA